AGUGAACGCUGGCGGUAGGCCUAACACAUGCAAGUCGAACGGCAGCACAGUAAGAGCUUGCUCUUACGGGUGGCGAGUGGCGGACGGGUGAGGAAUACAUCGGAAUCUACUUUUUCGUGGGGGAUAACGUAGGGAAACUUACGCUAAUACCGCAUACGACCUACGGGUGAAAGCAGGGGAUCUUCGGACCUUGCGCGAUUGAAUGAGCCGAUGUCGGAUUAGCUAGUUGGCGGGGUAAAGGCCCACCAAGGCGACGAUCCGUAGCUGGUCUGAGAGGAUGAUCCGCCCCACUGGAACUGGGACACGGUCCCGACUCCUACGGGAGGCAGCAGUGGGGAAUAUUGGACAAUGGGCGCAAGCCUGAUCCAGCCAUACCGGGUGGGUGAAGAAGGCCUUCGGGUUUUAAAGCCCUUUUGUUGGGAAAGAAAAGCAGCAGGUUAAUACCCCGCUGUUCUGACGGUACCCAAAAAAUAAGCCCCGGCUAACUUCGUG
rnacentral:rRNA from 1 species